ACUCCACUCAGGCGUUAUGAUUCCGGGUUUGCCUUUCUCGCUCCAGAUUCAAAUAACGGGUAACUGCAUAUUUGGAGCAAAUAUUUUUGUAUAAUUAACCCAAUAUAGAGCCCGUCGUUUCCAAUUGGAUCAAGUUAGUCAUAGAACAAGGAGGUGGGCAGAGUCAAGCACGAGAUAGUGAGAUCCUAUUUGCGCGUUCGAUACUUUAUUUGAAUUCUUCCGUUAGGGAAAGCCUGCCUUGAUGUGCAAUAACUAAAUUCUGCCUGGCAGUCCUUCUAAACGCAUUUUUUAUAUCCCCGGUGUCUGUGACAUAUACAGUUAGGUGAGACGUAGAUCAGGUGGAGAGUGUGGGGAAACAGAAGACUUUGUCUGUCAUGCUGAGUGUUUAUGUAGAGUCUUUGCCAGAUAAGGUCAGGGUAGGAAGUGUCAGUUAUACAGUGAGAGCUUUUGUUUCCCGAAAAUAGUAGGGUUUUAGGUGUCAAGUUUAUGGGCAUGUUGCAGCAGUGUGUAGGAGGGAGAUGCCUAGAUGUGAAAAGUGUGUAGGAGGGCAUAAGAUGAUGUAAUGUGUGGUAUCGGUGGGAAAAGUUAUGGAUGUUAGUUGUGGGGCUGCAGAUCGGAGGUGUCCGGUGAGAGAAAGGCAGGUUGAGGUUGCCAGGGUUAUGUAUUUAGCUUUUAUUUAACUAGGCGUAGAAGUCAGUGAAGAACAAAUUCUUAUUUACAAUAACGGCCUAGAGUAGUACAGAAAGUGUUGUAAUGCCAAAGCAGUGAAGAGAGUGGUAGUGCAAGAUGGGUACAGGGUGAGGGAUCCUGUGAGUAGGCAGAGACCAAGAGAGUGAUGGGAAGAAUAUGUGCUUCAGUAAAGGUGGGCUUUUUAGCAUUUAUAGCCAUGGUUGUCAAUUGUACUGCAGAAAUGGAUCAAAAGUCACAGAAAAUAGUGGUUGUGGUGGCAGCGGCAAAGAAGUACUUGGGAUUGCUAAGAUUUACUUCUUAACAGCUGCAGGGGGUAGUGUUAGUGGUGUUAUGUCCUCUCAGACUGUUGGUCUGGAGUAGGACUAGAUAUAAUUAAAUAGUGGAAUGGGGUGGUGUUGAAUUUGUUUUGAGAGGGUUAAUAGUUGAAUGGGGGAUUUUGUAUUACCAUAUAAAAACAAAAUUGUAGUUAUGCCGUGAAUGGCCUCACACACCAGUACAGUAGGUGGCGGUGUAUGCACCUAAAAGUUUGAUGCGAUCCGCCAACCAAAUCUCAAUGAAGAAUGUAACCGAUUAGGAGAAUUAACAUAGCAGGUUAGGAGAAUUAACGUGGCAGUUUAGGAGAAUGAGGUUACGGUUUGGAAAGGGGUUCAUCUUUGCUAAAAAUGUGGAGCAUGUUUGGAUAAUUAAUGUGGCAGGUUAGGAGAAUGAGCAUCAGGUUAGGAAAAGGCUUAGCUAAAAUGCUAUAGUUGUCAACAAUGUACUUGUCGUGCAGCCCAGACACAUAAAACAGUCUUGAGUGGCAACAAAUCUGCCCAAUUAGCUGAUUCUCUUUCCAUACACCCUCUUCUGUUGACACAUCCACUUUCAGACACACUCCAUGGUAGCGGUCCAAACACUUACAAGACACACAGUCCACUUAUCCUCGCCUUAUGCCCUUGAGGGAAUCCCCGUCACCAUCUUGGAGGGUGGUCCAAAUUAUUAGCCAAGCAAGGGAAGUUUACAACGUAAGCUCCUUGGCCCUCGUUUUUAGUCGGCUUGCGAGUGUACAAUUAUGUUCACUCUGGGGCCUGAAACUACCCAUAAUUCAAUUUGCGACGAUUGUACAUCCGCUAAGAAAAGUCAGAAAAAAUUAAAAACAACAUUAAAAUGAAUGCAAAUAAAUUACGAAUAGUGUUACUAAUGCACAUGACGUCUCAAACACGUCUCGAAAAAGUAAAUAUGUUUGUUUGGUUAUCUUUUGGAAAUUGUAGAAAUAAAACAUUUUCCAGAAUGCUAUCAUACAGUAGGCAUUUAUUAAUAAUGAUAUAUUUAAUAUAAGUAGACAUGCACUCAUAAUUGACUGUAGCGCAUAUAAAGCACCCACAAGCUACCGGUGUCUGAAAACACAAUAAUCUCGGGAUGAAUUUCCGGCCAAGGGUGGUCCAUUUAAAAAUCAUUCCUUCCUCCCUCGCCCCUUGCCCUGCAAGUGUAUACUCGUCAGACAUCAUGACACGUCAUCAUAAUUCUCCACUUAAUUUGAGGGCUGAGGGGAUAGGGUGUCUUUUAAGUGUUUGGACUGCAACUCAUGUAUGCAGCAGAUGACACAUGAUACUCCAGAUUGGACGUUUGCAUCUACUUACAUCUGCUUAUUUGUUUUGCAGUCAAUAUAAACAGUGCAAUCGUACUGGAGGCAACAGUGUUUACUUUGUUGUGGCUCGACUUCUCCUCCAGAGCUAUUAUCCAUAACACCUAAAUGCCAUAAUACACUUGCUAGCUCACUUAACUCCCCAAACAAAUAUGUCUAUUAAUAAUACUAGUAUUUAUAAUUUUAAUAGCAUUCAUAAAGGCUUUAUAAACACUACAUAAAUAGUUCACAAAUAGUCUAGAACCAUAUGCGGUACACAAAUUAUUUCUGAAUGUAGUGCUUGGUAGUGAUUGUACUUGGUUUAAUGUUGGACCGAAAAUUUACAUUUUGUAUUACCGUAACAAUACUUAUUUAAUCCCAACUAUUCAAGCACCUGUUGCCAAAUUGGAAUCAUCAUCCCAUAACUAACAUCUCCAUGUGAAGAGAGUAGCAAUAAAAAUAACUGAAAGUAAUAUAUAAAAUUUAAAAAAAAGUUUAGACAAAGGCUGCAGAGGUAGAUAGCCAAGAAUGGAAAAGCUGGCUGUAUUACGUGGAGGUGAUUGCACAAAAAAGUGAAGAAACUAAAAUCUUAUGAACUAGUCCAAUGUAAACAAAUUUGAUUUCAAUGAACACACAAAAGUACAUUACAAAUAUCUCUUUCACAAUCACCAUAAAAAAAUACCAAGCAGUGAGAUUUAUGUUCCAUGAAAAUAUUUAAAGGAUCAUGCAUGUCUGUAUUUUUUUUUUUACUUGAAAAAACCUGCAAUCUUACAAAGCUACAUUUAUCAAUGAAACACUCAAAGAUGUUGUUUAUAUGAGUCGGGUAGAAUACUACUCUUGCUGCGAUAUGUCGGAAGUGUACGCUUCGAACACACCGACUGUGUUAUUGCGUUUCGAUACACCAGAAGUACAUUCAUUUCCAAUGGAACGCUGCAUUUGCCUUGCAGCAUUGCGUUGCAGAGGCAGUUGCAGUGCGUUCUGUGUGGAGCAUACGUUCGAUUUAUCAGAAAGUAGCAAAAUAUGAAUGUAGAUUUUUUUUUUGCACACUUAGUCAGUAAAAAUGUGCGAUUACAUAAAAAGUUUGAUUGCAUCAUUUCUUCACAUUUUUUAUAAAUGUAUUUAUAUUAUUUAUUCGAUGACAUCCACAAAUGAAUUGUGAGAGCCUAUAAUAUAAUUUCCCUCCAAAAUGCAAUAAUAAAUAGUCAAGAUAGCAGAGUAGGCUCUUUCAAUAAUGAGACCAACGUUGAGGAAGGUGGUCUUGAUCGCACUGUUGGGCCGGGACCAGCCCCGCCGAAAGCGCAGGUCUGUGUGGGUCCAGAGAUGGUUAAAGUCCCGAAAGCAGGCAGGGGAGUUCCACUGUCUAAUUCAAGAGCUUCGACUGUUUUGAGAGGAAUUCCGAAGUUACUUUCGUCUGGACCGAAGCCAGUUCGAUCACCUGCUCCAGAUGGUUGGAGCCAGGAUCACCCGGAUGGAUAACAACUACCGGGAGUCCAUCAGCCCAGUUGAACACCUGGCGAUUUGUCUCCGAUUCUUGGCGACAGGGGACUCCUACAGGACCAUAGGAUUCAGCUUCCGAGUUGGACGGUCCACGGUGGCAGGCAUUGUCCCCUCUGUGGCACAAGCCAUUUGGGACUGUCUGGUUGGUGAAAACAUGCCUGUCCCCAAGGAGGAAGACUGGAGGGCCAUCGCUGCUGAGUUUCUGGAGAGGUGGAAUUUCCCCAAUUGUCUUGGCUCCAUUGACGGGAAACAUGUAGUAAUCCAGGCUCCACCGUGCUCAGGUUCGCAGUUCUACAACUACAAGGGUACAUAUUCAGUUGUACUCUUGGCUGUAGUAGAUGCCAUCUACUGUUUCCGUGUUGUCGAUGUUGGUGCUUACGGCAAGGGAAGUGAUGGCGUGACCCUCCGAGACUGCCUUUGGCCAGGCACUUCAGGAUGGCACCCUGGAUAUUCCACCACCUGCAUCACUCCCUGGGGCUGAAGACCUGGGACCUGUUCCCCACGUCUUCGUUGGCGAUGAGGCCCUACGCUGGAUGUUUUUACUUUCAUCUUGUCUUAGAUCAGCAAAGGUGUAGGGAAGAAAUAAGCAGAUUAAGUCUAAAUUAGACAUUAAUAAACAACUGAAAAUGAAAACAUUAUAAUUUAAUAACUAUUCAAGUACAGGAAAGAACAUGACAGGUAUGUGUGUUGUAAAAAUGUUUUAAAAAAUAAAACUAUUGAAAGAG